rnacentral:tRNA from 1 species
GCCCUUGUAGCUCAGUUGGUAGAGCAACGGUUUUGUAAACCGAAGGUCACGGGUUCGAAUCCUGUCGAGGGCACCA